CGCCGCACCGCGUCUCGUCUCGAGUCGCGCAGGUCCACAAUCCCCACAGCACAAACCCUAGCCUUCCCAAACCCCGCAGCGCCGCACUCCCUCGUCCUCCUCCGUCCUUCCUCGUCAGCCAUCGCCGCCAUUCCGCCUCGCUCCUCUCUGUCCGACGACCAUGCCACCAGGAGGAAGCUGCCGCGCAAGAGGUCAGGGGCCGCCGCCACCGCGAGCCAGUGGACGACCGUUGCGAGCCUUUGGGCAGGAAGCCGACGGGGAGCACGCAACAAAGCCGCGGCUGCCGCCAGGGUCUUCUCGCUAGAGGUGGAGGAGCAGGGGAUCCCGCCAGAUCCGAGGCAUGAGGGCGCGGCGGCGAGCAUCUCCAGCAACGGGGGCGACCUGCAGGCAAACGGCGAUAGCUGGGGCGCACGAUUCGGUCCUGUGCCAUGAGCUUGUCCCUGCAGGAGAGAGAAAAGAUGUGGGGAAGAGAGAAGGAAGGAGAUGAAGGAGAAAGAGAGAGGAAAGAGGAGAGGAAGGUGCAGCGGCAGAUGGAGGAACACAAGCCGGCACAGGCCAUUCGCAUCUCUCCUCCUCUCCUGCCUUGACCACCACCGUGCCCCUCCUCCCCCCCUUCGCUUCUCUCCAUAUCCUCAUUCUUUGGAGCUAGCUGAUUGGUCAACACCGAGGAAGACGAGGAAGACAGAGCCAGAGGAAGAUGGCCCAGCCCUGCUGUCGACGCCCACCGGCCACCCCGUUUUUUUUUUUGUUCUUUAGUUUUGGAUCAAAGUUCUCUUUUAUCUUGAGUGUCCCUUUUUGGCAUAAAAUGGAUUCAACAACCAAUUUUAGCUAAGAACAAACUAUUAGUGAGGAAGGGCAAACUGACAGAGGUGGGCAAAACCAAAAAAAGGAUUGAGGAAGAGGUGGGCAAAACAACUUGAGCAAAGAGCUAAAUCACUAUGAAAUGCUACUUUCCAGUGAUUAAUUUCGUCCUUUUAAUUUUUCAGUAGAGAACUCAAAAGUUUAAUGAAGAUAGAAAGUUGCAUUUUAUUCUUAUCCACAUGGUUACUAAAUUUACAUUUUUAUCUGGAAAGAGGUGGCCUUAAACAAGUUAAUUUGCAUUUUAUUCUUAUUCACAUGGUUACUGAAUUUACUUUUUUAUUUGGAAAGAGGUAGCCUUAAAAAAAUAGAUUUUUUUACCAGAAUCUCUCUUAAACUAACCUGCUACAAAUAUAAAAUGGCAUUGCAUUGUUACUUCAGUGGGAAGUUCCUAUACAUAUUCUCUGUUUCUCCGGAAUUGGUUGAAAGUGUUUCUUCUGCUAUCCACUCUCUCACUAGGCUUGUUACCUUUGUUGCUGAAUUUUGCAUUGCUACAGAUGGAAGGCGUUGCGCUAUUGAAGGAGUCCAUCAAGAACUGGAGGCAAUGGCCUAUGACAUGGGGAGGUAUGUGCUUCAUGAUUGUUGUUGGUUAAUUGAGAGUAUGUGAUGCUCGAACAAAUGAUGUGCAAGCAGACUAAAUCUUUUAUCGACAUCUAGAACUUAAUGUUUCAUGUUAAGAAAAGUAUAUCCCAUAUUUCCCCUUAGUGGCAGAGAGCAUAUUUGAGCAGCUGACUGGAGGCUGGGCAUUUGCGUCAGUUUGAUUUGUUUGCGUAUGUUCACUGUUUUCUGUUUUCCAAGUGUUGAGUGGCUACAUUUUUGUUCGCUUUGCUGCUGUUGUGCUUGAUAUAAGAAAGACUAGGGGCAUGACAGUUGGGCAUGGGGCAUAAACAAGUCAUAGUAUCAGCGUCCAUGCCUAUAUGUCAGGUUAUAUGCCUUUGUAAUGUAAUCAUCCGUGUAUGUCAAUGGCAGUGGUUUAAAAUACGUAAGCUGAUGCAUCUUGUGCUUGCUUGUCACUGUGUUUCUACUAGGCAAGGUCUGGAAUAGAUUAUAUAUAUUCAUUCAAAUAUGACGUGGUCUUCUUCCUUUGCCUUUGUCAACAUAUUUAUUUGGGCGUUCCUUUUCUCUGUACUUUGUUUGGGCAGUGUUUUUCCCUACGCAUGUCCUUUUUUAUUAUAAGUUCAUGGGCUAAUUUGGUCAUAAUAUAACCCUGUCCUAAAAGUGCUCUUGCACUGCAGAAUUCUCUUAUUUACAUGUUUGGUCACAAUAUAGCUCUGUCCUAAAAUCCACUUUGCUUUCAGUUUGCAUCUGUACGACCCGGAUAGAUAUACUCUAGACCUUGAUAUAUGAGUACGUAAUUGAAGAAUUGGACAUCUUGGUCAUUGCGGAUUUUCUCUGUUCAUUUUAAAAAGAGUAUUACAAAUUUACAAUUCUCCGGGAGCAACACUCCUGAGGUAGCUAUUCAUCCAUGUUGCUUUUUAGAAAACUUGCGACCACAGAGGCCGAAGUCGCCACCCUGUAAUGUCGCGCUGAUGGUAGCCCAUACUGCUUUGCCGAUGAAUAAUAUUGUAACAGCUAAUGCUUGAAUUUUUCAUACCGCUUCAGCUAACCUGUGAAUAGGUCUGCACUCUGCACCUACAUAUUUUGAUGAUCGUACACUGCUGCCGUGGCUGGGCAAUAUGAUGAUAGUUUAAUGAAGCUUUUGAAUAUUCUAUUAGCAUAGCUCUGACAGGUAAGGAUACUUUAGGUUGUAGCUCAACUAUGUAUCUGUGGAUAUUAAUCUUACAACAUGCUAUUUCUUCUUUUUUUUUUGGACUUAAAAUUUCUGCGAAUUGUGGCUUAACUAUGAUACUUUAGGUCGCAUGCUCAAUUAUGUAUAUGUGAAUUGUGGCUCAGCUAUGAGGUUUUUAAUGAACGUUUCGAGUAUUCUAUUACUACGUCUUUGAAAGGUUAGGAUACUUUAGGUCUCAACCAUGCCUCUCCAUUUCCCGCCUUCCCCGCUAAGCCAGAAGAGGUGGUAUAAUGGAGCAAGCAUCAGGUGACAAGGCUUAUUUCUUUAUUUGGACCUAAAUUUCUGAGUCUGCUGUCAUAGACCUUAUGUUAAUAUCCAUUCCUAGUCGUACUCCUAUUAUUUUGUAUCACCAUUCUACAAAUGCUUCAGCUAAACUUUUCUUUGUUUGAGUUCUUAACGGUUUUGUCAUUUUCCAAUAGAAUUUGCUCCAUAUAUCAGCAGGGGAGGCCCCUACUGUAUCCAUCUAUAUAUUUUUCCUUUCGGAUGCACGUGAUGUGACGUUUAUUCUGGUGUAUGAAAUAAGUAGUUGAUUGUGUAGUCUUUUAAAUGAGCAAGGCAUGAGAGAAAGAUUAUUUUACCAUGGCAACCAUCUUUUAGUUCACAAUUGAGUUGAUGUUCUGUGAGAUCUAAAAAAUAAGUUGACAAUUGGCAUGGUUUGCAUUACAAGUGUGCGUGCCUCCUUUUAUUUGUUCUCUUGUUUUUCAAUUCCUUAUUUGUUAUGGCGCUGCUAGGAGGGCACGAGAGGGCCGACCGGGGGCCUUUUGCCCACGGCCGGGCAAGAGGGAAGGGAUUUCCUUCUUAAUUCUUGCUUGAUUAGAUUGAUACAUCUCCUCUCUUUAUAUAGAGAGGUUUACUUGACUCCCAAGCAAGCGACCCUUAUAACCAUGACUCGACGCAACACAAACCUAACACCUAAAAACAAGCUUUUUACUUCUCGGCUUGUUUUAUUACUCUCAACCUGAAAUGGACUGGGACGCUUUAUUUUGGACCCCUUAACAAAAAGUGGACACCAUCCGCACGUCGGACAUGCAUGUGUACAACCACCUGGAUCCCAUGGACACCAUCUGGACAAAAAGAGUGCAUGGGUAUGGCCACCUGGAAGUGGUCACAAGAGCGACCAGCAGAGGCGCGCCCUUGCAGCGGCCGGCGGAAUGCAGUGGUGCUACGUGGUGCGCUCCUGUCGGUGACACCCUGCCUUCUUCCCACCGGACGGCUGUUGGUCUGCACCGCACAGAGAAGAGUGGAGGGCUU
rnacentral:rRNA from 1 species